UAUCGAUGAAGAACGCAGCGAAAUGCGAUAAGUAAUGUGAAUUGCAGAAUUCAGUGAAUCAUCGAAUCUUUGAACGCAUAUUGCGCCCCUUGGUAUUCCGGGGGGCAUGCCUGUUCGAGCGUCAUUACAACCACUCAAGCCUAGCUUGGUGUUGGGGUUCGCCUUUUGGUGGCCCUUAAAACCAGUGGCGGUGCCGGCUGGCUCUAAGCGUAGUAAUUCUUCUCGCUAUAGGGUCCUGGCGGUGCUCGCCAUUAACCUCAAAUUUUACUAGGUUGACCUCGGAUCAGGUAGGGAUACCCGCUGAACUUAAGCAUAUCAAUAAGCGGAGGAAAAGAAACCAACAGGGAUUGCCUUAGUAACGGCGAGUGAAGCGGCAACAGCUCAAAUUUGAAAUCUGGCUCUUUAAGGGUCCGAGUUGUAAUUUGUAGAAGAUGCUUUGGGUGUGGUCCCGGUCUAAGUUCCUUGGAACAGGACGUCAUAGAGGGUGAGAAUCCCGUAUGUGAUUGGGUACCUUCGCCCGUGUAAAGCUCUUUCGACGAGUCGAGUUGUUUGGGAAUGCAGCUCAAAAUGGGUGGUAAAUUUCAUCUAAAGCUAAAUAUUGGCCAGAGACCGAUAGCGCACAAGUAGAGUGAUCGAAAGAUGAAAAGCACUUUGGAAAGAGAGUUAAACAGUACGUGAAAUUGUUGAAAGGGAAGCGCUUGCAACUAGACUUGCAUGCCGUCGAUCAUCCGGGGUUCUCCCCGGUGCACUCGGUGGUAUUCAGGCCAGCAUCGGUUUGGGUGGUUGGAUAAAGGCCUUGGGAAUGUAGCUUCUUUCGGGGAGUGUUAUAGCCCUCGGUGCAAUGCAGCCUAUCCGGACCGAGGACCGCGCUUCGGCUAGGAUGCUGGCGUAAUAGUUGUAAGCGACCCGUCUUGAAACACGGA
rnacentral:rRNA from 1 species